rnacentral:rRNA from 1 species
GGACUACCCGCUGAACUUAAGCAUAUCACUAAGCGGAGGAAAAGAAACUAACUAGGAUUCCCCCAGUAACUGCGAGUGAAGAGGGAAGAGCUCAUCAUUGGAAUCUGGCAGUGUUUCACUGUCCGAGUUGUAGAUGAGGAGUAGUCCGUCUGGACUGCAUGGCGUCCAAGUACAAUAGGCCGUCAGUGGGACAUCAUAGAGGGUGACAAUCCCGUCCUUGACGCCAAUGUGCAAGUCUAUUACGAUGGCUAUCUCAGAGAGUCGAGCAGUUUGGGAUUUGCUGCUUAAACAUGGGAGGUAGAUUCCUUCUAAAGCUAAAUACAGGCGAGAGACCGAUAGAGAACAAGUACCGCAAGGGAAAGAUGAAAUAGCACUCUGUGAAGGGAGUCAAAAGGCGUGAAAUUGUUGCGAGAGAAGCGAUUCAAGUCAGCGUAGCUAGGCCCAUCAAGCGUCUUCGCUUUGGACUAGCUUUGCCAGCGGUCUUGUCCCUUAAAGAGACUUGACUUGUAAUAUGUCCAGCCUGGCGUGCACAGGCAGCCCCUUCUGGGGGCCAGUGACAUGGCUGGUGGAAUGGCUUGCAAUCGACCCGUCUUGAAACACGGACCAAGGAGUCUAACAUGUAUGCGAGUAUAAGGGUGGCAAACCCGUAUGCGCAAUGAAAGUGAUUUUCGGUGAUUGAGAAUGGCCUGAUGACCAGACAAGCAAUAUAUGUCCCUCGUACGGCCAUUGCCCAAGUUCCGUGGUAGAUCCCACGAACAUGGAGUUGGAGCAUACAUGCUAGGACCCGAAAGAUGGUGAACUAUGCCUGGACAAAGCGAAGCCAAAGGAAACUCUGGUGGAGGCUUGUAGCGAUUCUGACGUGCAAAUCGAUCGUCUGAUCUGGGUAUAGGGGCGAAAGACUAAUCGAACCAUCUCAUAGCUGGUUCCUGCCGAAGUUUCCCUCAGGA